rnacentral:rRNA from 1 species
CGUCAAGUCAUCAUGGUCCUUACGGCCAGGGCUACAAACGUGCUACAAUGGCGGGUACAGAGAGACGCAAUGUCGCGAGGCGGAGCAAAUCUUCAAAACCCGCCCCAGUUCGGAUUGGAGGCUGCAAUUCGCCUCCAUGAAGUUGGAUUCGCUAGUAAUCGCGGAUCAGCCACGCCGCGGUGAAUACGUUCCUGAGCCUU